GGAAUAAAAUAAAUGCAUCUGCUGAGGGACAGUCAGUGAGUGUGUCUGUGUCCAACUCUUCCUCACAGGUUAGUUAAUGACAGACAGUCAGUGAGUGUGUCUGUGUCCAACUCUUCCUCACAGGUUAGUUAAUGACAGACAGUCAGUGAGUGUGUCUGUGUCCAACUCUUCCUCACAGGUUAGUUAAUGACAGACAGUCAGUGAGUGUGUGUGUGUCCAACUCUUCCUCACAGGUUAGUUAAUGACAGACAGUCAGUGAGUGUGUGUGUGUCCAACUCUUCCUCACAGGUUAGUUAAUGACAGACAGUCAGUGAGUGUGUCUGUGUCCAACUCUUCCUCACAGGUUAGUUAAUGACAGACAGUCAGUGAGUGUGUGUGUGUCCAACUCUUCCUCACAGGUUAGUUAAUGACAGACAGUCAGUGAGUGUGUCUGUGUCCAACUCUUCCUCACAGGUUAGUUAAUGACAGACAGUCAGUGAGUGUGUCUGUGUCCAACUCUUCCUCACAGGUUAGUUAAUGACAGACAGUCAGUGAGUGUGUCUGUGUCCAACUCUUCCUCACAGGUUAGUUAAUGACAGACAGUCAGUGAGUGUGUCUGUGUCCAACUCUUCCUCACAGGUUAGUUAAUGACAGACAGUCAGUGAGUGUGUGUGUGUCCAACUCUUCCUCACAGGUUAGUUAAUGACAGACAGUCAGUGAGUGUGUGUGUGUCCAACUCUUCCUCACAGGUUAGUUAAUGACAGACAGACAGUCAGUGAGUGUGUCUGUGUCCAACUCUUCCUCACAGGUUAGUUAAUGACAGACAGUCAGUGAGUGUGUGUGUGUCCAACUCUUCCUCACAGGUUAGUUAAUGACAGACAGUCAGUGAGUGUGUCUGUGUCCAACUCUUCCUCACAGGUUAGUUAAUGACAGACAGUCAGUGAGUGUGUCUGUGUCCAACUCUUCCUCACAGGUUAGUUAAUGACAGACAGACAGUGAGUGUGUGUGUGUCCAACUCUUCCUCACAGGUUAGUUAAUGACAGACAGUCAGUGAGUGUGUCUGUGUCCAACUCUUCCUCACAGGUUAGUUAAUGACAGACAGUCAGUGAGUGUGUGUGUGUCCAACUCUUCCUCACAGGUUAGUUAAUGACAGACAGUCAGUGAGUGUGUCUGUGUCCAACUCUUCCUCACAGGUUAGUUAAUGACAGACAGUCAGUGAGUGUGUCUGUGUCCAACUCUUCCUCACAGGUUAGUUAAUGACAGACAGUCAGUGAGUGUGUGUGUGUCCAACUCUUCCUCACAGGUUAGUUAAUGACAGACAGUCAGUGAGUGUGUGUGUGUCCAACUCUUCCUCACAGGUUAGUUAAUGACAGACAGUCAGUGAGUGUGUGUGUGUCCAACUCUUCCUCACAGGUUAGUGCAGUGAGGGAUUGAUGCAGGAGAACUGGGACAGCGGUACAAAGGUUUGCUGUGGAUUAAGAAGAGGACAUGCUGGAUUCAGUUUGAGCCUUUAUUAAAUGUGAAACUGUAAAUGGAAAUGUGAAAUAUAGCAGGGGCUGCUUUUACCUGAAAAGGGGGCGGGGCCAUGACGCGAGCAAGUAACCGGAUGAGGAGCUCUCACCUGAGAUUGGAGGAGGAGCAGACAGGUAAUAGAUAGAUACACUUUAUUAAUCAUAAUGUUAAGGACAACGACCCUGUUCGUGUUGCUGUCGAUCCUCCACGUUGUGGCUUCACCUGACCAACAGAACGUUACAGCUCAUCCUGGAGACAAUGUUGUUCUGAAAUGUGAGGCUCCCAGAAACACAACAAUCAAUGUUGCAAAGUGGAAGAAAGAUGGUCUCAGUAAACAUGUGUACUUCAACCGAGACGGGCACUCCAUCGAACCACGUGACCAGGACCCAUCUUAUAUAGGGCGGGUGGAUCUGGUGGACCGUGAGAUGAAAGACGGUAACCUGUCUUUAAAUCUGAAGAAUGUGAGCCACAACGACACUGGAACAUAUGAGUGCAGCGCUGAUAAAGUCACACUGGCUAGGGUUGUCCUUAACGUUACAGAAGCAGAUCAUACGGCAGUGGCAGUGGCAGUGGCAGUGACAGCAUUUGUUUUUUUCGUUGCAUUGAUCAUGAUAUAUCGAAGACUAUCUAAGAACCUCAAGUGUGGCCAGAAUGAUGUUGCUGUUCUGUUCACCAGAUGGUAUGAAGGCUUUAAGCAGGUCGUAGAAAAGCUCAUAUAGGGUGAUGAUAAUGUAUAGAAAGUGGCCAUCCUAGAAGAUGACAGUACUAUUGACUCCUGAUUACACUUCAUCAGUAAUCAUUGAGUCAGUCAGUAUUUUGCUGAAUCCAGCGUGCCUCAGGUACACCCCUACCUGUCUGAAUUCUUGCGGGUUGAAAUCGAACCUCCACGUGUUCUUUUUCAUGUUGCUGCUCUACGUCAGCUCCUCGUGUUCACUUUGUUUGAAUGCUGUCUGUCUGCAGCUCCAGUCUCUUCACAUUAGCCUUCAACCAGCUGAUGUCCUCAUACUGGCUGCGAACCUUUAUGCACUUUGCUUUGCACUGAUGAGCUCCUGCACUUAAAAACAAAAAGUUGUUCAUUUUAGAAUUCAAUGUGUCUGAUGUAUUUUUUGUAUUUUUGUAUUUUCCAUUAAUUCUGGCUUUCUGUUACGGGUUUUGUGUGAAGAACUACAAUUUCUUUGUUGCAGCAGUUCUUUUAUGAAAGCUGCUCCGGAGAUAGUGUUUAUUACAUUAAGCUUUACUUUCUACUGUCUCCAUUGUGUCACUUCAUUUGUGUUACAUUCAUACAGAUAUUUUCACUCAGCUUGUCUUUGUUUAAGUUCCUACUAGAAAGCUUCAUUCUGUGUUAAUUCUGGCGGUUCCUGUGGACAAAAGCAGUAAUCUUUCUGCUUCCUCGUUUUAUUGAUUUUAAGGUAAAUCUGACCUGGUGGCAGCCAUUACUAAUAACUGAUGGCGUUUGGGUCUGUAGGUCAUAUAGCAGCAUCAAUGUUGAACUGUAUAAGGGUUUAAGUACAGAUUCCUGUGGUCCUGAAAUAUCUAUAUAUAAUGAGAGCUCAUUCCUCUGAUCACAUCUCACAAACUACCUCCAGAUUAGCUUUGGAUACUUUUUAUUAAUAAAAUGAUUAUUAUGUAGAGUCUGCAAAAGUCUGUUCUAUUUCCUUCUUUGGACCUUGGAUCAGUACACAUAGAGAACCAGGUACAAAUGAUCCUUUUUGAGAGAGAAAUGUCUAGAGCUGAUGUUUGUGUAGGUGGACUCUGUAUUAGCUUUCUUAUCAAUGUGAGAGUGAAGGUACAACAUUAUGGAAACAAACUGCUCAUUGAAUUAACACCUGAAAGUGCCAUUUGCUGUUAUACAGAGCCUUCAGUCAUGACCAAUAAAGCUGCUCUUUUACAGUAAA